GGCAAGAUGGCCGAGUUGGUUAUGGCGCCAGGUUAAGGCCACCUUAACAUGCAAGUUAGCAAUUUCCUGGUGGAGCAAUCCUCGUGGGUUCAAAUCCCACUCUUGUCA
rnacentral:tRNA from 1 species